GCGGCCGCCGAGCUCUCCCCGCCCGGCCCAGCCCCUCCGCCGCAGCCGCGGGGCAGCCCCGAGCCACGGCCCCGGCUGGCGGGCGGGCUGCGGGCAGGAUCCUGGCGCUCGGGCUCUGGCAAGGGGAAAGGACAGAAACGGCGCAUCGGGAGGGACCCUGCCUCACCGCUUGUAUAUGGCAAAGUUUCUCGCCGAGCUCCUGGGCUGCACGUUGCCGAGCAAGGGCGCCUCUCCCAUGUUUGAGUCUAAAAGUCAUUCCCGAGUUGGCCUGAAAUCAAGCACCAAGCAAAAGUUUAUGUAUUCAUCCUCCUGUAGCUUCCUGAGAAGUCAUGGGAGACCACCAUUUUCAGCACAUUGGCCAGUGAGAAGUCCUUAUCUGACUGCAAAAAGAGGCUGUGUUCCCUGCCACGUGGGGUGAGCCAAUGGGCUGAAGAAGCAUGAGGAAAAGGAGACUCGGGUAUGGCAGGUGGCUGUGUGGAGAGGACACUUGGAACAGCAAUGGAAACCUUCCAUGUACAGCAGCAUAACUCCAGUUUGCU
rnacentral:lncRNA from 1 species